AGCCUUCUGAAAGGAAGAUUAAUACAAGAUGGCAUCAUGAGUCCGCAUGUUCACAUGAUUAAAGGUAUUCCGGUAGACGAUGGGGAUGCGUUCCAUUAGAUAGUAGGCGGGGUAACGGCCCACCUAGUCUUCGAUGGAUAGGGGUUCUGAGAGGAAGGUCCCCCACAUUGGAACUGAGACACGGUCCAAACUCCUACGGGAGGCAGCAGUGAGGAAUAUUGGUCAAUGGGCGCAGGCCUGAACCAGCCAAGUAGCGUGAAGGAUGACUGCCCUAUGGGUUGUAAACUUCUUUUAUAAAGGAAUAAAGUCGGGUAUGGAUACCCGUUUGCAUGUACUUUAUGAAUAAGGAUCGGCUAACUCCGUGCCAGCAGCCGCGGUAAUACGGAGGAUCCGAGCGUUAUCCGGAUUUAUUGGGUUUAAAGGGAGCGUAGAUGGAUGUUUAAGUCAGUUGUGAAAGUUUGCGGCUCAACCGUAAAAUUGCAGUUGAUACUGGAUAUCUUGAGUGCAGUUGAGGCAGGCGGAAUUCGUGGUGUAGCGGUGAAAUGCUUAGAUAUCACGAAGAACUCCGAUUGCGAAGGCAGCCUGCUAAGCUGCAACUGACAUUGAGGCUCGAAAGU
rnacentral:rRNA from 1 species